CUCGAUCAGCCGAUCACCAAUGAAUGUUAACUUAAAAUUUCGUAUUUCGUAAAAAUGCUUCCGUCAAAAUUGUUUUCCUUCUUUCCUAAUCAAUAUAAGAAAAAAAAAUUGAGGAAGAUUUUUGAAAUUUUGAUAUCGAAUAAUUUACGUGAUCGAGCCGUAUUCGUUGACUACAUUUAAGUACGUCAGUUAUGCUUAUAGAAGAUGCAAUUUUUAACACCUUCAAAGAACGUAAUACAUUCCCGGACAAAAUUAUAGCAUAUGUGUGUUAUCUUCUGAGAGGGCAACAAAAUAGGCUACUAUACGUGUUGCCUCAAACUCGAUGUUAACAUCUGGCAAAAUUGCUCACGUACCAGGUAUCUCUGCAAACGUUCAGAGUGUUCGCUGUGUUCUUCAGAAGUUGUAGCUAUGCUGCCGUUCAUCAAACUAAAGUUGUAGAAACAUUCUCUAC